UCCUUGAUGGUCUAGUGCUCAGGAUAUGGCAUUCUCACUACUAUGGCAUCAGUUCAAUUUCUGAUCAGAGAA